UGUAACCAAUGGGGACGGGACUUUGGAGAAGAGGGCGGGGCGUCGGAAUAAAGAGGCGUGGCCUCACCAAUGGGGGCGGGGCGUGGGGAAAUGGAGGUAUGGUGUAACCAAUGAAAAAGAGGCGUCUGGGAAAGGGGCGUGGCUUAAGGAAAAAGCCGCGAGCUUCCGGAAAGGGGGCGGGGCAUCAAAAGGGGGCGUGUCCUCAAGGAAAGGGGGCGGGCUGUCAGCAAAAAGGGGCGGGGUUUCAAGCGGGGGCGUGGCUUCGGGGCGGGCAGCAGUGGAUGGGGGCGUGGUUUCGGCAUAGGUAGGCGUGGCUUCGAUACAAAGGGGGCGUGACCUCGGCACGACUUUGCCAAUAGGAAGCGAGGGGGCGCGAAGGGGGCGUGGCUUUGGGGAGGGGCUGCCACUGGGAUAAGGGAGUGGGCGUGGCCAAACGUAUCCCCGCCCCUCCUCCCCCUAAGUGGGCGGGGCUUGGCGCUUUCCUGCUCUCCGAUAGGCUUCCCGCGGUGCUGGGGGGCGGGCGGUGGGGCUGAGCCCUGCCCCACACCUUGGCAGCGAUCAUGUAGGGCGGCACGAUGUCGAUGUUCAUCUCCUGGAACAGCUCCCUGCACUGCAUGGAGAUGAAAUCCCCGGCCAACGGCGACUUCACGAUCCCUACGGGGACAACGGAGGAAGAAAGCUGGGAUGUUGUAGUGCUCGAACAUCAGCUCCGUCAGCUUCUCCCUCUUGGCCCUCGUGUUCCACUAUGGGGCAGGAGGUACAGCGUGUGGGGUUUGGGGGACGGGCGCAAUGUGUGGGGCGGGGUUGUGGGGUGAUGUGGGGUGGGGGGGGGUCGUACCGGCGCUUCAGACAUGAGGACGGGGUGCAGGCCUGGCUCUGACUUGACGUGUUUGCCAUAAGUGUGGUCCAAGAUGGCCUGGAAGCACUCCCAGUCCUCGACUGUGGGGUGAUGUGGGGCAGUGGGGGGGGAUGAGAGGGGUUAACGUGGCCCCAUAAGUAUAGGGGGUGACCCCCGUUCCCAUAGCAUCCCUGUAGGGUGAUCUUAUCACCCCAUAGGGUGAGCCCAGCCCCACAUUGACCCUCUGGGGUGCCCCCGUGACCCCUCAGCAUCACCCCAACCCCACAUUGGCCCCCCGUCAAUCCCCAUAACAUGCUCACCCCACCCCAUAGAGCCACCCCAGC
rnacentral:lncRNA from 1 species